UACGUAGGGGGCAAGCGUUGUCCGGAAUCAUUGGGCGUAAAGAGCGUGUAGGCGGCCCGGUAAGUCCGCUGUGAAAGUCCAGGGCUCAACCCUGGAAUGCCGGUGGAAACUGUCGGGCUAGAGUCCGGAAGAGGCGAGUGGAAUUCCUGGUGUAGCGGUGAAAUGCGCAGAUAUCAGGAGGAACACCAAUGGCGAAGGCAGCUCGCUGGGACGGUACUGACGCUGAGGCGCGAAAGCGUGGGGAGCAAACAGG
rnacentral:rRNA from 1 species